CAGUCGCCGCGGUAAUACGUAGGGUGCAAGCGUUAAUCGGAAUUACUGGGCGUAAAGCGUGCGCAGGCGGUGUUGUAAGACUGAUGUGAAAUCCCCGGGCUCAACCUGGGAACUGCAUUGGUGACUGCAACGCUGGAGUGCGGCAGAGGGGGAUGGAAUUCCGCGUGUAGCAGUGAAAUGCGUAGAUAUGCGGAGGAACACCGAUGGCAGAGGCAAUCCCCUGGGCCUGCACUGACGCUCAUGCACGAAAGCGUGGGGAGCAAACAGGAUUAGAUACCCGAGUAGUCCCUGUCUCUUAUAU
rnacentral:rRNA from 1 species